GAUGAACGCUAGCUACAGGCUUAACACAUGCAAGUCGAGGGGUAACGAGAGGAAAGCUUGCUUUCCUUGUCGACGACCGGCGCACGGGUGAGUAACGCGUAUCCAACCUGCCCCCAACUAGGGAAUAACCUUGCGAAAGUAAGACUAAUACCCUAUAAUUUCCUCAGAUGACAUCUGACGAGGAAUAAAGAUUUAUCGGUUGUGGAUGGGGAUGCGUCUGAUUAGCUUGUUGGCGGGGUAACGGCCCACCAAGGCAACGAUCAGUAGGGGUUCUGGGAGGAAGGUACCCCACAUUGGAACUGAGACACGGGCCAAACUCCUACGGGAGGAAGCAGUGAGGAAUAUUGGUCAAUGGGCGGAAGCCUGAACCAGCCAAGUAGCGUGCAGGAUGACGGCCCUAUGGGUUGUAAACUGCUUUUAUACAGGAAUAAAGUUAGCCACGUGUGGUUAUUUGUAGGUACUGUAUGAAUAAGGACCGGCUAAUUCCGUGCCAGCAGCCGCCGUAA
rnacentral:rRNA from 1 species